rnacentral:rRNA from 1 species
CCGGUAAACGGCGGCCGUAACUAUAACGGUCCUAAGGUAGCGAAAUUCCUUGUCGGGUAAGUUCCGACCUGCACGAAUGGCGUAAUGAUGGCCAGGCUGUCUCCACCCGAGACUCAGUGAAAUUGAACUCGCUGUGAAGAUGCAGUGUACCCGCGGCAAGACGGAAAGACCCCGUGAACCUUUACUAUAGCUUGACACUGAACAUUGAGCCUUGAUGUGUAGGAUAGGUGGGAGGCUUUGAAGUGUGGACGCCAGUCUGCAUGGAGCCGACCUUGAAAUACCACCCUUUAAUGUUUGAUGUUCUAACGUUGGCCCGUUAUCCGGGUUGCGGACAGUGUCUGGUGGGUAGUUUGACUGGGGCGGUCUCCUCCUAAAGAGUAACGGAGGAGCACGAAGGUUGGCUAAUC